GCGGGCGUGGCGAAAUGGUAACCGCAGCAGACUCAAAAUUUGCCGGGGGCAACCCCUUGUCGGUUCGAGUCCGACCGCCCGCA
rnacentral:tRNA from 1 species